ACCUCCUUAGUAUAAUCAGUACAACUGACUUCCAAUCAGUUAGAUCUAGCCCCGACCUAGAAGGAAGUA
rnacentral:tRNA from 1 species